UUAUCAGAGAACAGUGUAUUAUAAUACAGGUAAUCUGUAUAUAUAUACGACAUAAUCAAAGUUAGAAUAAGCAAAUACACACAGGGAGACUUAUUUCCUCAUCAAACCCGAUUUAUUUUUACAAGAAUGGUUUACAAAAUAUACUUCGCUGCGUUCCUUCUUGGAACUGCGUUCAUCAUGUCACUUAUUCAAGGUUCAGACGCGGGUGUGCGAACAAAUGAAGGUCCGGGUUCAGCUGAGCCACCAUGUACAGUCGGCGGUACGGUCAAUCAACCAUAUGAUUCAACAUGGGUAGAUUCGUCAGGAAGAACUUGCAAAUGUUUUGCACAUGGAAGAUCUAAUUGUGACUCAGCGGAUGACAACUAGAGGUAAAUACGGUGAUGAAUGUAAAUAGCUUUCGUGAUAAAAAUGAAAAACUGAUGCUCUGAUCUUUCUCCCGAAGUCGAUUUUGUGUCAUUAAAAUCCAAAUACAAUAUGGUUGUUCGUUUAAGUUGUCAUGUAAAUAUAGACUUUAAAAU